UACGUAGGGUGCGAGCGUUAAUCGGAAUUACUGGGCGUAAAGGGUGCGUAGGUGGUGAGGUAAGUCGGAUGUGAAAUCUCCGGGCUCAACCCGGAAAUGGCAUUGGAAACUACCUUGCUGGAGGAUUUGAGGGGGGAUUGGAAUACUUGGUGUAGCAGUGAAAUGCGUAGAUAUCAAGUGGAACACCAGUGGCGAAGGCGAAUCCCUGGAAAAUACCUGACACUGAGGCACGAAAGCUAGGGGAGCAAACAGG
rnacentral:rRNA from 1 species